AGUCCAACUGGACAUCAGGACAAAGAAGCUGCCCCUGCAUGAAGACAUUUGUGUUUACUUCCUGAACUUCUCUGAAAAAGGAUUUUACAGCCCUGGGCCUGGAGGGUCACCCCUGUCAUCCCAACAUUAGGAAGGCCGAAGCAGAAAAAUUGCCAAGUGGGAGGCUAGCCUGGGCCACACAGCGAGACUCUGACCCAGACAGGACAAAACAACGCUUUACAAAAAUGUCGGCAUCCCUUGAAUCUGUGGGUCUAAUCUGGAAGCUGGCCAACUCUGAAAAGAAACCGGAGGUACAACUAGCUGUACAAAUUGGUGCUGCUUGCCAAUAACACAGGGUGGCCACUGGCACAGGGUAGUGUGGCCACUUGUGGCCUGGGAGACUGGGUCUGUCUGACCCACAGUGUAACCAGCCUACUGCCACACCGAACAGAAUUGUACGUAUAAAAAGCCUUCGUCUGGCCCUGCAUCUAAAGGGCCAGUAUGACCCCAGGGCUGUAGGAUGCUGUACCAGAGACACAGCUGUUCUGGGGCAGGAGUGGGACAAAGGCUUUGCAUCUGGAAAUCAUCCAAAGCUUCCAGCUGUCAGAGUCAAACCAGGAACCAUGGAAACCAGACCCUUGCAGCUCUGUGUCGCUCUCUGCUUACACUUUCAGGGACCACGCCUUGCUGGUGGAAAGCUUCAGUCAACCAUGGCUCCACUUGGAACAUCAGAUCCCACAGGCCAAGACUCGACCCCUCCACAGGAUGGACCUCACUUCACACAAUAGCUUCAGGUCCUGGCUGGUACUGGUGCUCUGGACAGAUUUGUAUAAACUGGGAGUGGGGGGUGGUUAUGCCUUGAAUUUGAGUUCCUCUGAGUAUACUUUGUCACUUGCUAGAAUUGUUCGUAGAACUCUAAAAGACAUUUUACAUACAUUGAUCUUUUUAUUUUCAAGGGGGCAGCUUUAAGAUAGAGCAUGACGCAGAGGUUCUGAGGGAUAGGAAGGCUGUCAUGGCCUUGGCGGGCACUACCCUCCACAGCUCCCACAUCUGGAAAUUCUCUGAAUCCUACAGUUCCUCUCUGUUGGUGGUUGUGGGAAAUAUAAAAAAAUGAACCAGC
rnacentral:lncRNA from 1 species